rnacentral:lncRNA from 1 species
UAUAUAUAUAUAUAUAUAAAAAAAUUUCAAAUAUCAUACUUAUGGUUUCACACUUUCUCAUUUCAGUACCGUAUGAUAUAAAGUAUAUCUAUUUUGUACUAUAUGAUUUUUUUUUUCUUUUUAUUAUCUCAUCUUCUAAUUUUUUCGUUAAAUUAGUGACAAAAUUAAAAUUAAAGAGUACUAAAAUAAAUAUUCGAUAAAUCAUAGAUAAGACAUCUAAAGUUUUUAUAUAUGAUUUAACGAAAGAACUGAUAAAAAGAAAAAAUAAAAUCACAGAAUUAAUACAAAUUAAUAUAUUUUAAAAUAUAGAGCAUUAAGGUGAAGCUAAAAGAGUGGUAUUUAAAUAUAAAUAUAU